rnacentral:rRNA from 1 species
CUGCGGAGGAUCAUUACAGUAGUCGCCCGGGUUGCCGCAAGGCCUCCCGGGUAACCUACCACCCUUUGUUUAUUACACUUUGUUGCUUUGGCAAGCCUGCCCUCGGGCUGCUGGCUCCGGCCGGCGAGCGCUUGCCAGAGGACCUAAACUCUGUUUGUCUAUACUGUCUGAGUACUAUAUAAUAGUUAAAACUUUCAACAACGGAUCUCUUGGUUCUGGCAUCGAUGAAGAACGCAGCGAAAUGCGAUAAGUAAUGUGAAUUGCAGAAUUCAGUGAAUCAUCGAAUCUUUGAACGCACAUUGCGCCCCCUGGUAUUCCGGGGGGCAUGCCUGUCCGAGCGUCAUUACAACCCUCAAGCUCAGCUUGGUGUUGGGCCCCGCCGCCCCGGCGGGCCCUAAAGUCAGUGGCGGUGCCGUCCGGCUCCGAGCGUAGUAAUUCUUCUCGCUCUGGAGGCCCGGUCGUGUGCUCGCCAGCAACCCCCAAUUUUUUUCAGGUUGACCUCGGAUCAGGUAGGGAUACCCGCUGAACUUAAGCAU